rnacentral:rRNA from 1 species
CCUACGGGAGGCAGCAGUAGGGAAUAUUGCUCAAUGGGGGAAACCCUGAAGCAGCAACGCCGCGUGGAGGAUGAAGGUCUUCGGAUUGUAAACUCCUUUUGUUAGAGAAGAUAAUGACGGUAUCUAACGAAUAAGCACCGGCUAACUCCGUGCCAGCAGCCGCGGUAAUACGGAGGGUGCAAGCGUUACUCGGCAUCACUGGGCGUAAAGAGCGGGUAGGCGGGAUAGCAAGUCAGAUGUGAAAACCUCUGGCUUAACCGUCGAACAGCAUUUGAAACUGGUAUUCUAGAGUAUGGGAGAGGUAGGUGGAAUUCGUGGUGUAGGGGUAAAAUCCGUAGAGAUCAAGAGGAAUACUGAUUGCGAAGGCGACCUGCCAGAACCUAACUGACGCUGAUGCGCGAAAGCGUGGGGAGCAAACAGGAUUAGAUACCCUUGUAGUC